AACAUCGGCGGCGGCCGGGUGACAUGGUUAUAUGUCACAAAAUAACAUUCGAUAAUGGAACAUGGAAUGAAACGACGGCCGCAGCAGCAGCAGCUGCAGCAACAGCCCCAGCCGCCGGGAGAGUCUUUGCUGCAAUGAACCCCCACUGCCCGGAGGCACAGUCCCUAAGAGAAGAGGUCCAGCUGCCAUCUCUCUGUUAAUAGUAGUCUCUCCUUUGCCUGCUUCUGCGGCAGCCAAGAGUGCAAUGGAGAAAGCUUCCUUAUUUAUGGGGCGCUGAUCCCGGUGACCAGACAUUCCCUGAGGGUGCUCACUCUCUCACUUCUCCCCACAUUUCCCCCCAACCUUCCUUCCACCCCACCAUGACUGGCUCCACAUCCAGCGCUCACCACUGCCCCCACCCCAAGAGUGGCAAAGGAAUGCGGUCCAGGAGCACUCACGUACGAUCUGUGUGCCUCGCCAACAAUGGGGGGUCGGAGGAGGAAGACAAAGAAGGAGGGGUGCUCUUCCAUGUCAACAAGAGCGGCUUCCCGAUUGACAGCCACACCUGGGAACGGAUGUGGAUGCACGUGGCAAAGGUACACCCCAAGGGAGGAGAAAUGGUGGGGUCCAUCAGGAAUGCAGUCUUCCUGGCAAAACCUUCAGUGCCCCCAGUUCCAAACUACAGGGUAUCCAUGUCAAUCCCAGAAUGGCUUCAUGCGAUCCAGAAUUACAUGAAGACUCUACAAUACAAUCACACAGGGACACAGUUCUUUGAAAUUCGAAAAAUGAGACCACUAAGUGGGUUGAUGGAAACAGCAAAAGAAAUGACUCGAGAAUCUUUACCUAUCAAAUGUCUUGAAGCUGUAAUCCUGGGCAUAUAUCUAACAAAUGGGCAGCCAUCCAUUGAGCGAUUCCCCAUAAGCUUUAAAACCCAAUUCUCAGGAAAUUACUUCCAUCAUGUUGUACUGGGGAUCUACUGUAAUGGCCGCUAUGGUUCACUGGGCAUGAGCCGGAGGUCCGAUUUAAUGGACAAACCUCUGACCUUUCGGACUCUGAGUGACCUCAUUUUUGACUUUGAAGACUCCUACAAGAAAUACCUACACACAGUCAAAAAAGUCAAGAUUGGGCUGUAUGUUCCUCAUGAGCCCCACAGCUUCCAGCCCAUUGAGUGGAAGCAACUGGUUCUCAAUGUCACAAAGAUGAUGAGGUCGGACCUAAGGAAAGAGCUGGAGAAAUAUGCCAGGGACUUGAGAAUGAAGAUCCUGAAACCCACAAGUGCCCACUCGCCUCCCCUGGAGAGAAGUCGAGGAAAGUCAUUGUCUCCCCGGCGGAGGCAGUCAAGCCCUCCAAGACGGCUUGGGAGGAGAGACAAAUCCAAAAGUGGACCAUGCCUAGCCCUACUGAAGACAGAAGCUAGCAUGCCAGCAUCAUUCUCCUUCAUCAAGCAGGAUUUUCUCCAGGGAUGGUUGCUUCUGAUGAAACAAAAUAAUAUAGCACCUUACAUGCAUUCUCUCAUUUGAUCUUCACAACCAUCUUGUAAGGUGGGCAGGUUUGAGUCACUCCCUUUUCCCCACUCUGGCCAAAAUGUGAUUAAAGACCCUCAGAGGUUACCCUGAAAGUAAAGCCUCCAAUCAUAACAGAGCACAAGAUUAUAAUUCAAGUAAGAUAGUUAUAGAUUCCACUAUUAGCUCUAACUUUUGACCCAGUUAUUAUAAUAUAUUCAGGCAUUGAGUCUAGUGGGGCUUAGAAGGCUGUUGAAAUUUUUGUUUUGGUUUUAUCAAUGAGGUCAAAUUAGGAUGACCUUAACAUUCAUAGUCUGGCCCUUAGUGAAAGGUAGUGACCCUACCAUGAUGGGGCCCAAGUUGCCAUUCUCCUGUGUGGGCCCAGAGGUAGAAAUGUCCCCAGACCAGGGUUUCUUUGGUUAAAUCUUAAUCCCCUAAUCUCUGGCUACUUUGUUAUGCAGCCAAACUGAAGGACCAUACCUACAGAAGACAGAAGUUAGCAUACCAUCAUCUUUGCCAGCACUCCCAAAUAAGAAGGUGACUGACCUCAGUACUCUGAAUGAAGUAGGUUAUCAAAUCCGAAUUUAAUUAAGCCAUAAUGGCCAGUGGUGCUUCUGUCUGCACUUUACCCAGCACAUGGCAUCUUCGGGAGGAUUUGCAACUCUUUUUCAAGAUCCUGUGAAUUGUAUUUUUAAAGUCGCCCAGAAAAUGUAUAAAGGGGUGAUAUUUACUUAAAAAAAAAAAAAAACUUAUCAAGUGGCAACAUGAAAAAGCAAAAAAAAAAUUAUAAUAAUUGUGAUUAUGAUAAGCCCUACCUGGAGCUGGACUAACUCCUUUACUCCUAAAUGAGUGGACAACUACUUCAGUGGCGGAUCCAUAUAGUUUUUCUCUUUUUUUAAACUAGCGCUGAAUGCUGUGCUACACUGGUAACCUUAGAGACUUGUUUAUGAAGUCUCUUCUCCCUUUUUUUGGUGUUUGGACAGUAUUGGCACACACACAGAAGGGUUAACUCAUGAUCAGUAUUAGCAAUAUUCAGCAAUAACUGAAGCAGAGGUGGGUGUGGUUUUUAAAAGCAUUUAUAUUACCUCAAUACCUGGUAGAUAUGCAAACUUGAUGGUAUUUAAAUUUUUCUGGUAAUUGAUUUGUAUUAUUCCCCUAAUAUUUAUUUAAUAGAGAUUUCCUUGGAGUCUGAGGCACUCAUCCUGCAUGCCUAUAUUGAAAUUUAAGGUAUUAUUAUAUGCACGUAUUUUCUUUAAAAGCAAUGGAACUCUACUGGCAUUGGAAACAAAUCUCCAGGACCAUCCUGUCUCUCUUCCUUAAAGGCAUUCCCUGACAAAUAGAUUUAAACAACAAUAACAACAAAACACUGUUCUAUUUUCUGUUCCUAACAUUACAGAUUCCCAGAAAAAGCUCAUGUCUGGGAGCUCCUUGAGGUAGAGUUGGUGCUGUUAGAACUGUCUCUGAUAGUAGCAUAUAUUCUUAGCAGGCCAAGGCCAAAAAUGAAUUGAUUGGUUUGAACAUCUGACCUUUCUUUUCAAGUUUUAUCUAAUUUGGAUACUGAGCAAGGCCUUGUCUCUAAAGGAUUUACUGCUUUUAAAUGCACAGAUUUUUUUUUUCCUGUCUUAUAUUAAGACUACACAUGGCAAUAUGAUCCUUUGUCACCUUGCUCAUAAAUGCCAUUCCAUCUACUUACUCAAAAAUAGAAUGACUUUAGGAAUAUGAUUAAAACAAUCCUUUGAGGAUGAAAAUGAAGACAUUUACUAAGUAUUUAUUUUCCAGCAUAUUGAAAUCCCUAAUAGUACUAUCUUUAUCCAUCUAACUUCAACAUUAUCCAUUAACUUCUAGCCUUAAGAUUGGGAUUAACUGUAAUUUUUGGCUAGAGAGUGUAGUUUUUGCAGUACGUUGACUUACAGAGUACUUCUAAAUAACUUGUUAUAACUACAUACAAUAUUAGUAGAUAACAGCUAAAGAUGAAUUUUGCUGUUGUAGAGAAAUUAUUUUUAGUAAAAGGGUUUUUCCUCCCUCUACUUUUUCAUUUGGCAAGAAGAGCAAAAAAGUAGGUAAAAUGAGAACCAUCUAUCCUUUAUCAACAUAAAGUUUGAUUUUGAGAAAUAUAUUCUUUAUAUUCAAAAUGUACAUAUAAGAUUACUUCCAACAAAUUGGAAUUAAUUGCAAUUAUUGAUUGGGAGAGUAAAUCACAUGGCAUAAGAUAAUCACAAAACUUAUUCUUAAAAAGUCAUAGCAAAAUAAAACCACACAUCCUUCUGAAAUACCUAUCAGGUCAAAGAUUUUUAAAUGUCACUAUUCAAUGCCUUUUAAAAGACAAGUUUAUGAAUUUAAUGGCUCUCAAAAUUCAGAUUUUAGUAAUCAGUAACUAGCUCAUAAACAAUACUGUAUAACUGGUACCUCAUGAUUGCAAUUUGUACAUUCAUCAACAUCACUUGAAGAUUUGUAGAAUGAUGAGUGUAUGAUUUCUAAAAAGUUGCAAGCCAUUCUUCUGGAAUUUAUAAUGAGAUUUACUGUAACACUGUUAUGCUGUCAACUCAUAUUAAGAGGGAUAUAUGAAGCAAUAUCAAAUUGUGACACAGCCUGUCUUUAAUGACAGAAGGGGAAAAAGAAACAAGAAUGUAUUCUGAUUCUAAUAUACUGAUGACAUGAAAUCCUUCAAACUGCCAACUUGUUGAAUUAGUCAAUUGGUAAAUUAUCUCUCUCACAUUCAUUCCUUACUUUGGGGAUUCACUACCCCAAAGUAAGGGCCAACUAGUAAUGUAAAUGUGUAAGUAGUACAUACAUUUAGAAUAUUCUUUAAUCAGCAGUAUAUCUUAAAUCAAUAUAUCACUGUGAUUUUCUAUUGUAUUCUGCUUUUUUCUAACUGAGGAAAUUCAAAAAUAAGUUAGAUUGAAUUCACAGGUUUUUCCUUUUUAUGAACUACAUAAUGAGGCUUGAACAAAGCAAAAGUUUCAACAGCUUGAACCACCAAACCUGUAUGUAUUGAUGUUCCCAGGUCAAAGAUGAAAAUCAAUUUACUUUUAGAAAACAUUAAAUGGGUAAAAAAAAAUCAUGUCUUACCUCAAAUUAAUCAAUUUUUAUUUAAUUGCCUACAGCCUAAGGUAUAGCAAAAUAUCUUUUUCAAGGUUUUAUAAUCUUGUAAAUAAAACCAAUUAUUAAUCUAGAGAGAAAUUUGUCAAACUGUAUCAUGGAAAUACAUGUAUGUGUAUCAGAAACCCUGAUUUUAACUAUGGUUUGUACUGUUUUGAGUGCACUUGAUUUCGAUAAGUGAUAUUUAGUAUUUUCUAUUAUUCUAAAAUUAUGUGUAUUUCACUUUUUCUAAGUCAAUUAUUUCUUAAAAAUAUAAUUAAUACUGGUAAAUAAAGCUUUUAAAUUUUAAUUCAGUCUUCUUACACCUGACAUUUUAUAAGCUGUAUAUCCAUGUGAAAACUUGUAUUAUUUUUUUUAAGUACAAUCAGAAUCUUGUUUAUUCUCUUGGACUCUGUUCUGGCAAAUGCAUUUUUUAAUACUUAAGAAAAAUUGUGAUUGUUUGAGUGAAUAUUUUUCUAGAUAAAUGAAAACUUGUAUAAUGGUAUUUUAGGGAAUACCAGACAGGUGCAUGUUUCAGGUUUUGCUUUUAUUAUCAAUUGUAUGUUUCUAUACAGCAUGGAACUUUAAUAAAAAUGUCUUGGAAGUUCA